rnacentral:tRNA from 1 species
GGUGCGUUGCCCGAGCGUUUAGGGAGCGGCCUGCAAAGCCGUGAACGGAGGUUCGAGUCCCGCACGCUCCUCGA